GUUUCUAUAUCUGGUACCCUUAUGCCUCAAUUAGUAUUUGGAAUGUCACAAAUGGUAUCAGAGCAUUUAUGCGAACCAAAUCUCUUACAACUGAGGUUGUAGGUAGAAAGACCCUUAGGAUAUCUAGGGAAAUAAAGUCAUAUUUUCCAAAACUAGAUCACUAACUCAUGUCUUCCUUUGUUUUAUAGGAAUGACGCAAGGGAGAUCUUCCGUAGAAUGUACCGAGAGACCCAAGGCCUAGGACCAUCCAAACAGGGCUGAGUUUACUGAACUCUUUCGAGCUAUCCAGGGAUUGACUGCAGCCAUAGGACAUAACGAAGCUGACCCUUGUCAACACUGUGUCCUGGAAUACCAAAUAGCUAAUAGGUCUAUCUCUCAUAACAGUGUAGAAUUUAGGAAGCUUAACUCGUCACACUUUGAAGGUGGCCCUAACCCCUUAGUGGUCGAAGUCUGGAUCCUGCAAAUAGAGAAGUUUUUCUCUGUCCUAGGUCUAACCAAGGAACAGAAGGUUCUCUUAGCAGCCUUUAUGCUGAUCGAUGAAG
rnacentral:lncRNA from 1 species